CUCUUCCUCUUCCUCACUGAUCUCCUCCCACUGAUCCAUCAUCACAGCGCGAGAUCCUGGUAGACUCCCUGUAUCUGCAAGAAGCCCUGAGGAGAGAGCUGCCCAAAUGAUGAAUGGAGACAGAGAGCGGUUUGUGGUUUUGCAGCAUUGCCACACUCAGGCAGAGUUCUUGCUGUGUGGGCAUCAGAAGUCAAGCCCUUUCCUGUUGGAGGGCUUUGCCUUGUUUGCCGCGGAAGACGACUGAGUUUUGUUUUUUGCACGGCGGGACGACGGGGAGACAGAUGUGAUGACUG